rnacentral:SRP_RNA from 1 species
GUGUAGAAUAGACCGGGGAGGUAGGCGUUCCCUGUAACCAGAAAUCGCCGAUACGCUGGGGUCGAACCUGAGAGGCGGUGUAACGAGCAUCCAUUGAUCCAUCUGUCCGACUAUGAAACCCUGUCCUUUGGGAUUGGAGGUGAUGAGUCUGUAUAACCGGAGGGUUAUACACUCAUCUUUAUUGCGGGAACCGGGCGAGGCACGGAAGUGAGCAGCCUUACCGCAAACUACCGAUGCUCAAAGGGUGAACGGGGUUGAGAAGGCAGAUGGGUAAUCAAUGGAUGAAACGUGCAUCCACUCGAGGGGUUUCUACAC